rnacentral:rRNA from 1 species
UAGUCCACGCCGUAAACGAUGGUCACUAGCUGUUCGGACUUCGGUCUGAGUGGCUAAGCGAAAGUGAUAAGUGACCCACCUGGGGAGUACGUUCGCAAGAAUGAAACUCAAAGGAAUUGACGGGGGCCCGCACAAGCGGUGGAGCAUGUGGUUUAAUUCGAUGAUACGCGAGGAACCUUACCUGGGCUUGAAAGUUAGUGAAUAACUUGGAAACAAGUUAGUCAGCAAUGACACGAAACUAGGUGCUGCAUGGUUGUCGUCAGCUCGUGCCGUGAGGUGUUGGGUUAAGUCCCGUAACGAGCGCAACCCUUAUCAUUAGUUACCAGCGAGUAAUGUCGGGGACUCUAAUGAGACUGCCUACGCAAGUAGUGAGGAAGGUGGGGAUGACGUCAAAUCAUCACGGCCCUUACGUCCAGGGGCUACACACGUGCUACAAUGGACGGUACAGUAGGUCGCUACAUGGGCAACAUGAUGCUAAUCCGAAAAGCCGUU